GGGCCCGCACAAGCGGUGGAGCAUGUGGUUUAAUUCGAUGAUACGCGAGGAACCUUACCAGGGCUUAAAUGGGAGAUGACAGGGGCAGAGACGCCCUUUUCUUCGGACAUCUUUCAAGGUGCUGCAUGGUUGUCGUCAGCUCGUGCCGUGAGGUGUCAGGUUAAGUCCUAUAACGAGCGCAACCCCUACCGUUAGUUGCCAGCGAUUCAAGUCGGGGACUCUAACGGGACUGCCGGUGCAAACCGUGAGGAAGGUGGGGACGACGUCAAAUCAUCACGGCCCUUACGUCCUGGGCCUACACACGUGCUACAAUGGUCCGGUAGCAGAGGGAAGCUACCCCAGUAAGGGGGGAGCGGA
rnacentral:rRNA from 1 species